GCACUCCCCUAUUACUACCGCCGUGCUCCCACCCCCUAACCCUCUACCCUAAUCCGCGUCCUCCACACCUUUCUAUCAAGGGUCAUGUCCUCUGUAAGCUGUAAUUACUCCAUAUCAUGCCUAAUCACCUCCCUCCAAUAUUUCUUCAGUCUACCUCUAGCCCGCCUAAAAUCAUCUAUAGCCAAAGUCUCACACCUCCGCACUGGAGCAUCAGGGCCCC
rnacentral:lncRNA from 1 species